rnacentral:rRNA from 1 species
UAGGGAAUAUUGGACAAUGGGUGCGAGCCUGAUCCAGCCAUGCCGCGUGCAGGAAGACGGCCUUCUGGGUUGUAAACUGCUUUUGCCAGGGGAUAAAACGGCUCUGCGGAGCUAAUUGAAGGUACCUGGUGAAUAAGCCACGGCUAACUACGUGCCAGCAGCCGCGGUAAUACGUAGGUGGCAAGCGUUGUCCGGAUUUAUUGGGUUUAAAGGGUGCGUAGGUGGUUCCAUAAGUCAGUGGUGAAAUACG